GAUGAACGCUGGCGGCGUGCCUAAUACAUGCAAGUCGAGCGAACCACUUCGGUGGUGAGCGGCGAACGGGUGAGUAACACGUAGGUGAUCUGCCCAUCAGACGGGGACAACGAUUGGAAACGAUCGCUAAUACCGGAUAGGACGAAAGUUUAAAGGUGCUUCUGGCACCGCUGAUGGAUGAGCCUGCGGCGCAUUAGCUAGUUGGUAGGGUAAAGGCCUACCAAGGCGACGAUGCGUAGCCGACCUGAGAGGGUGAACGGCCACACUGGGACUGAGACACGGCCCAGACUACUGCGGGAGGCAGCAGUAGGGAAUCUUCGGCAAUGGGCGAAAGCCUGACCGAGCAACGCCGCGUGAAUGAUGAAGGCCUUCGGGUUGUAAAAUUCUGUUAUAAGGGAAGAACGACUUUAGUAGGAAAUGGCUAGAGUGUGACGGUACCUUAUGAGAAAGCCACGGUUAACUACGUGCCAGCAGCCGCAGUAA
rnacentral:rRNA from 1 species